ACUGGCAAGGAUGAUAUACACUUGCCCUCACUUAGACUAUAGUUCGUUGAUGAGAGCAUUGUACUGAGCCAGU
ensembl:snoRNA